UCCUUGGUGUCUCAGACAGUAAAGAAUUUGCCUGCAAUGCAUGAGACCCAGGUUUGAUCCCUGGAUCAGGAA
rnacentral:tRNA from 1 species